UGGAGGUUACAUAAAUGGAAUGUAGGAAUGCAGAGGAUUAAAAUGCAUUGGAGAAGGAAAGUCAUCAUAAAACUGAGUUUGGAAGAUAAGAAAGAUGGUGAGUUUUGGCUGGGUGCAGAGGCUUACGCCUGUAAUCCCAACACUUUGGGAGGCCGAGCCUACCAUCAGUUUAAUCAAACCAUUCAGUAUGGAUCAAACCAAAAGUGUGUAUGUUUAGAAUCACAUCAGGAUCAUCAGUUGUUUCUGGCAGAGAACCUUUUAUCUGAGAACUUAUCUAAUCCACUAGCUCCCUACAUUUUGGUAUCUGAAAACACAUCAAAUAAGGAGAUACAAAAGCAUGGGAGAUACUAUUUCAUUCUUCUCUCUCUGAGGUACUUAUAUAUACCCUUGAGUGGUAUAAAGAAUGAUAUACUAUGUAUUCGAUCCAUAAAAACAGGUCUUUAAGAAUGUUUCACUUAUGAGGGAUAUAAUAAGGAGGGGAAAUGAUGUACUGAAGAUGUACUGUUCAGCUUGCCGGAAGUUUGAAAACAUAAUGCAUGUUAUACAGCCAGCUUUAUCAGCUCAUAUCACCAUGUAACCAAUUCUGGUAGUGUUAACACCAAAAAGAAAACUCAGCAUAACAACUUUCAGUAAAAACCAUUAUAAUUACUAUAUUAAAAUAAGCAUUUUACUAGCCACUUUGAAUUAUGAGCUUGCUUAUUAAUUAUGAGUUAAGUAAUAAAUUACAUAGUUGUAGUUCUUGGCUAAGUAUUGAUAAAUAAAAUAGAAAUAAA
rnacentral:lncRNA from 1 species